GAGCCUUUGUUGAGCACACUGACGCUGCAGCAUCGACGGAUGUCUGUCUAAAUACUAUUUCUUUUUCUGGUUUGGCAAGGACUCCUCCACUACAAAGAUGUUCACAUAACAGGCUGCUGUAAUAAACAGACUCAACAAAAUGAAUGCCAUCUGUGCAGGUGUCAGGAGAUCUGUGUUUCCUCUGGCCAUCAUCUCCACUUUCUCCAUCACCUCGCUGACCUGUUUCCCAUCAUCCCACUGCAUGUUGUUAAGAACAUGAUAUCUGUUUCCACAUUUAUUGAUCAGCCACUGCAGAGCCCCUCCUUCACUCUCAAUGUGUUCUUCAAUAGUGGGAGUCCCCAUCCAGUCUCCCCUGGUGAACACCACUAAGCAGUGCCUCCAAACAUUUCGACCCAGGAGCUCAAUGUGCUCGUUGACAGACCUUCCAUAUGCCUUACUGAAGGCGACACCAGACUGCAGAACCAGCAAAACUGCAUGAGGUCCUGGUGAACACAUAGUAACACUUGACAUGAUCUCCUGCUUGACUGACUCUGAAGUCUCCUUUACAGCCGCGUAUGGCCACCAUCCAGGAUGGUGUUCAUCACUGAAGUCUUUCCAACAAUUCUGGCACCCAUCAAGACAAUCCUUAAC